rnacentral:rRNA from 2 species
UACAGAGGGAGCAAGCGUUGUUCGGAAUUACUGGGCGUAAAGGGCGCGUAGGCGGCUUAACAAGUCCCGUGUGAAAUCCCUCGGCUCAACUGAGGAACUGCACGGGAAACUGUUUGGCUUGAGUUCGGGAGAGGGAAGCGGAAUUCCGGGUGUAGCGGUGAAAUGCGUAGAUAUCCGGAGGAACACCGGUGGCGAAGGCGGCUUCCUGGACCGACACUGACGCUGAGGCGCGAAAGCUAGGGGAGCAAACGGG